AGUGAACGCUGGCGAUAGGCCUAACACAUGCAAGUCGAACGGCAGCACAGUAAGAGCUUGCUCUUACGGGUGGCGAGUGGCGGACGGGUGAGGAAUACAUCGGAAUCUACUUUUUCGUGGGGGAUAACGUAGGGAAACUUACGCUAAUACCGCAUACGACCUACGGGUGAAAGCAGGGGAUCUUCGGACCUUGCGCGAUUGAAUGAGCCGAUGUCGGAUUAGCUAGUUGGCGGGGUAAAGGCCCACCAAGGCGACGAUCCGUAGCUGGUCUGAGAGGAUGAUCAGCCACACUGGAACUGAGACACGGUCCAGACUCCUACGGGAGGCAGCAGUGGGGAAUAUUGGACAAUGGGCGCAAGCCUGAUCCAGCCAUACCGCGUGGGUGAAGAAGGCCUUCGGGUUGUAAAGCCCUUUUGUUGGGAAAGAACAGCAGCAGGUUAAUACCCCGCUGUUCUGACGGUACCCAAAGAAUAAGCACCGGCUAACUUCGUG
rnacentral:rRNA from 1 species